UACAGAGGGUGCGAACGUUGUUCGGAAUCACUGGGCAUAAAGCGCACGUAGGCGGCACCGCAAGUGUGGGGUGAAAUCCCACGGCUUACCCGUGGAACUGCCUGGCAGACUGCGGUGCUAGAGGUUGGUAGGGGAGAGCGGAACUCUUGGUGGAGCGGUGAAAUGCGUAGAUAUCUGGAGGAAUACCGGUGGCGAAGGCGGCAUCCUGGACCGACAUUGACGCUGAACGGCGAAAGCUAGGGGAGCAAACGGG
rnacentral:rRNA from 1 species